AACGUAGGUGGCAAGCGUUAUCCGGAUUUACUGGGCGUAAAGGGUGUGCAGGCGGCGUUGCACGUGGGGUAUGAAAUCUCCCGGCUUAACCGGGAGGGGUUAUGCCAGACUGCAAUUCUAGAGGACGAGAGAGGGGGGUGGAACUCCGGGUGUAGUGGUGAAAUGCGUUGAGAUCCGGAGGAACCCCAGAGGCGAAGGCGGCCCCCUGGCUCGUACCUGACGCUCAGCCACGAAAGCAUGGGGAGCGAACGGG
rnacentral:rRNA from 1 species